UCUCCUGGAAACGGGUGGUAAUGCCGGAUGUUCCACAUGAGCGCAUGCGAGUGUGGGAAAGGCUUUUUGCGGCAUGGGAUGGGGUCGCGUCCUAUCAGCUUGUUGGUGGGGUAACGGCCUACCAAGGCGUUGACGGGUAGCCGGCCUGAGAGGGCGACCGGCCACAUUGGGACUGAGAUACGGCCCAGACUCCUACGGGAGGCAGCAGUGGGGAAUAUUGCACAAUGGGCGCAAGCCUGAUGCAGCGACGCCGCGUGCGGGAUGGAGGCCUUCGGGUUGUAAACCGCUUUUGUUCAAGGGCAAGGCGCGGUUUCGGCCGUGUUGAGUGGAUUGUUCGAAUAAGCACCGGCUAACUACGUGCCAGCAGCCGCGGUAAUACGUAGGGUGCAAGCGUUAUCCGGAUUUAUUGGGCGUAAAGGGCUCGUAGGCGGUUCGUCGCGUCCGGUGUGAAAGUCCAUCGCUUAACGGUGGAUCCGCGCCGGGUACGGGCGGGCUUGAGUGCGGUAGGGGAGACUGGAAUUCCCGGUGUAACGGUGGAAUGUGUAGAUAUCGGGAAGAACACCA
rnacentral:rRNA from 1 species